rnacentral:rRNA from 1 species
UAGUCCACGCCGUAAACGAUGAUCACUAGAUGUUGGCGAUACACUGUCAGUAUCUGAGCGAAAGCAUUAAGUGAUCCACCUGGGGAGUACGGUCGCAAGAUUGAAACUCAAAGGAAUUGACGGGGGCCCGCACAAGCGGUGGAGCAUGUGGUUUAAUUCGAUGGUACGCGAGGAACCUUACCUAGGCUUAAAUGUAGAUUGACGUAUUGGGAAACCAGUAUUUCUUCGGACAAUUUACAAGGUGCUGCAUGGUUGUCGUCAGCUCGUGCUGUGAAGUGUCGGGUUAAGUCCCAUAACGAGCGCAACCCCUAUCAUUAGUUGCUAACAUUUAGUUGAGGACUCUAAUGAAACUGCCCGCGUAAGCGUGGAGGAAGGUGGGGAUGACGUCAAAUCAUCACGGCCCUUACGUCUAGGGCUACACACGUGCUACAAUGGUAAAUACAGAGGGAAGCCAACUGGUAACAGUGAGCAGAUCCACAAAAUUUAUCUCAGUUCGGAUUGAGGU